rnacentral:rRNA from 1 species
UACGUAGGGUGCGAGCGUUAAUCGGAAUUACUGGGCGUAAAGCGUGCGCAGGCGGUUGCAUAAGACAGAUGUGAAAUCCCCGGGCUCAACCUGGGAACUGCGUUUGUGACUGUGUAACUAGAGUACGGUAGAGGGGGGUGGAAUUCCUGGAGUAGCAGUGAAAUGCGUAGAUAUCAGGAGGAACAUCGAUGGCGAAGGCAGCCCCCUGGACCUGUACUGACGCUCAUGCACGAAAGCGUGGGGAGCAAACAGG